AUAAACAUUACCGGAAGUUGAAUUUUAUUGAAAAAUGGUUCCAAAUUUAACUGGUUGAUAGAGAUAUAUUGUGUGUAAUAUUUGCUUCCUUUGCCAAUUCUUAGAAAUUGUUGGCGCACAGGUUAAAGUUAAGUUAAUGAUUCCAAAGAAAAGAUGUUUGCAAAACCAGCUCCGAAAAAACAAGUACCAGCUGGUACCAAAGCUAAGACGCUCAAUAAACCAAAAACAGUUAGUGUAAAGACUGGUGUCAAAGCUCCACAGGGAAAAAAGACAAAGAGUGAGGUGAAAAAGUCAUUGAAGCCGCCACCAAGACCAGAUGCAGGUUAUAGUCUGUACUCGAGUGACAAUGAAGAUCAGGGGU